rnacentral:tRNA from 1 species
GGCCCUAUCGUCUAACGGUCAGGACGUAUCCUUCUCAAGGAUAAAAUCAGAGUUCGAUUCUCUGUAGGGUCACAA